CCUACGGGGGACAGCAGUGAGGAAUAUUGGUCAAUGGGCGGGAGCCUGAACCAGCCAAGCCGCGUGAGGGAAGAAGCUACAGCGUAUCGUAAACCUCUUUUGUCAGGGAACAAACGCGGGUACUAGUCCCCGGCUGAGGGUACCUUACGAAAAAGCAUCGGCUAACUCCGUGCCAGCAGCCGCGGUAAUACGGAGGAUUCGAGCGUUAUCCGGAUUUAUUGGGUUUAAAGGGUGCGCAGGCGGCCUGUUAAGUCAGCGGUAAAAGCCCGGGGCUCAACCCCGGCGAGCCGUUGAAACUGGCGGGCUGGAGGUGGAGAGAAGGACGCGGAAUGGGCGG
rnacentral:rRNA from 1 species